rnacentral:rRNA from 1 species
CUACGGGUGGCUGCAGUGGGGAAUAUUGCACAAUGGGCGCAAGCCUGAUGCAGCCAUGCCGCGUGUGUGAAGUAGGCCUUCGGGUUGUAAAGCACUUUCAGCGGGGAGGAAGGCGUUAAGGUUAAUAACCUUGUCGAUUGACGUUACCCGCAGAAGAAGCACCGGCUAACUCCGUGCCAGCAGCCGCGGUAAUACGGAGGGUGCAAGCGUUAAUCGGAAUUACUGGGCGUAAAGCGCACGCAGGCGGUCUGUCAAGUCGGAUGUGAAAUCCCCGGGCUCAACCUGGGAACUGCAUUCGAAACUGGCAGGCGAGAGUCUUGUAGAGGGGGGUAGAAGUCCAGGUGUAGCGGUGAAAUGCGUAGAGAUCUGGAGGAAUACCGGUGGCGAAGGCGGCCCCCUGGACAAAGACUGACGCGCAGGUGCGAAAGCGUGGGGAGCAAACAGGAUUAGAUACCCGUGUAGGC